GGGCACAUGGUGUAGUUGGUUAUCACAUCCGCUUAGCAAUUAGUAAUCCGAAUCAUUGGCGGUUCACGCUAAUGAUUCGGAUUACCAAUUCGUAAACAAUGCGGGGGGUGCUGGGUUCAAUUCCCAGUGUGUCCA